AGUGAACGCUGGCGGUAGGCCUAACACAUGCAAGUCGAACGGCAGCACAGUAAGAGCUUGCUCUUACGGGUGGCGAGUGGCGGACGGGUGAGGAAUACAUCGGAAUCUACUUUUUCGUGGGGGAUAACGUAGGGAAACUUACGCUAUUACCGCAUACGACCUACGGGUGAAAGCAGGGGAUCUUCGGACCUUGCGCGAUUGAAUGAGCCGAUGUCGGAUUAGCUAGUUGGCGGGGUAAAGGCCCACCAAGGCGACGAUCCGUAGCUGGUCUGAGAGGAUGAUCAGCCACACUGGAACUGAGACACGGUCCAGACUCCUACGGGAGGCAGCAGUGGGGAAUAUUGGACAAAGGGCGCAAGCCUGAUCCAGCCAUACCGCGUGGGUGAAGAAGGCCUUCGGGUUGUAAAGCCCUUUUGUUGGGAAAGAAAAGCAGCAGGUUAAUACCCCGCUGUUCUGACGGUACCCAAAGAAUAAGCACCGGCUAACUUCGUG
rnacentral:rRNA from 1 species